GACGAACGCUGGCGGCGUGCCUAAUACAUGCAAGUAGAACGCUGAAGGAGGAGCUUACUUCUCUGGAUGAGUUGCGAACGGGUGAGUAACGCGUAGGUAACCUGCCUGGUAGCGGGGGAUAACUAUUGGAAACGAUAGCUAAUACCGCAUAAGAGUAGAUGUUGCAUGACAUUUACUUAAAAGGUGCAAUUGCACCACUACCAGAUGGACCUGCGUUGUAUUAGCUAGUUGGUGGGGUAACGGCCUACCAAGGCGACGAUACAUAGCCGACCUGAGAGGGUGAUCGGCCACACUGGGACUGAGACACGGCCCAGACUCCUACGGGAGACAGCAGUAGGGAAUCUUCGGCAAUGGACGGAAGUCUGACCGAGCAACGCCGCGUGAGUGAAGAAGGUUUUCGGAUCGUAAAGCUCUGUUGUAAGAGAAGAACGAGUGUGAGAGUGGAAAGUUCACACUGUGACGGUAUCUUACCAGAAAGGGACGGCUAACUACGUGCCAGCCGCCGCGGUAA
rnacentral:rRNA from 1 species